rnacentral:misc_RNA from 1 species
AACGCACCUUGCGCCCCUUGGCUAUUCCGAGGGGCAUGCCUGUUUGAGUAUCAUGAACACCUCAACUCUCAUGGUUUGCCAUGAUGAGUUGGACUCUGGGGGUUUUGCUGGCCUGUGGUCGGCUCCUCUCAAAUUAAUCAGCCUCCCAGUGUUUGGUGGCAUCACGGGUGUGAUAAAUAUCUACGCUCGCUGUUGUCUGCCAGGUAACCUUUGGUCACAAAGGUUUGCUGGAGCUCACAGAUGUCUCUCUUCAGCGAGGACAGCUUUUUUAACGUUCGAUCUCAAAUCAGGUAGGACUACCCGCUGAACUUAA